GCAAGUCGAACGAAGCACUUGUGCUCAGUGGCGAAUGGGUGAGUAACACGUACUUAAUCUACCCUCAAGACUGGGAUAACAGUUGGAAACGACUGCUAAUACCGGAUAUGUAUUUCUACCGCAUGGUAGAUAUAUGAAAGGAGCUUUACAGCUUCGCUUAAGGAUGAGAGUGCGGUACAUUAGUUAGUUGGUAGGGUAAAGGCCUACCAAGACGAUGAUGUGUAGCGGGGUCGAGAGGCUGAAC
rnacentral:rRNA from 1 species